AACGAACGCUGGCGGCAUGCCUAACACAUGCAAGUCGAACGAGACCUUCGGGUCUAGUGGCGCACGGGUGCGUAACGCGUGGGAACCUGCCCUUAGGUUCGGAAUAACUCCCCGAAAGGGGUGCUAAUACCGGAUAAUGUCUUCGGACCAAAGAUUUCUCGCCUUUGGAUGGGCCCGCGUUGGAUUCGCUAGUUGGUAGGGUAAAAGCCUAUCAAGGCGACGAUCCAUAGCUGGUCUGAGAGGAUGAUCAGCCACACUGGGACUGAGACACGGCCCAGACUCCUGCGGGAGGCAGCAGUAGGGAAUAUUGAACAAUGGGCGAAAGCCUGAUCCAGCAAUGCCGCGUGAGUGAUGAAGGCCUUAGGGUUGUAAAGCUCUUUUACCCGGGAUGAUAAUGACAGUACCGUGAGAAUAAGCUCCGGCUAACUCCGUG
rnacentral:rRNA from 1 species